rnacentral:snRNA from 1 species
GGGUGUGAGAGUGAUGUGGCUACAACAUCUGCCAUCCCAUUGAUUGCCAGGGUUAAUUCAGCUGCUGAUUGGGCUGGCUAGGCAGGUGUACCUUUCCUCCCUUAUAUCCAAAUAAAGGAGGACCAGUCUUCGGUCAAGGUUAUGUGAGUGGCUGUGCCCCCUGCUAAAACCUCCAAAUAAGCUCUCAAAGUCCAUAUUUUGGAGAAUAGAGGGUAGUCAAGUUUCCAAGACUUCAGAAACAUCCAAAUGAGGUACUGCAUGGGACAGUCUGCCUUUAUUU